rnacentral:piRNA from 1 species
UACAACUUAUAACAAGACUUUCCCCUGCCUU